rnacentral:lncRNA from 1 species
CAGGCGCUGCUGCCGCAACACAGGCGGGCACUCUCUGCGGGUCCCGCGGCUCCCGCGGCUUGCGGCCUGCUCAGCGCCUCCAGAGGCCUCAGGUGAGGGUCACCCCCCGCAGCUUGGGGUCACUCCCCUGAGCCCCCAGAUCUUCCCAUGGAUCCUUUGGAGGCCUGGGUUUUGGAGUUUGUCCUUCCUAAGUGCCGCCCUCCGGGCGCGGCUGCUCCAGGACCACAGAUUUCAUUGGGGAUGCUACCUGAUCUCUCUUCAGCCUCAGUUUCCUCACCUGGACAGUGGAGCUGAACCCACUCCCCACUAUCUGACCCUGCUCUCUGGGCUGUCCUUCGGGAACCCGCCCUGCUCAGGCCUGCUCCCCACCCUCCAUGGCUGUCAGCCCCCCAGGAGAAGAAUGUCUGCCAUACGGAGGCUGCUGGCAGCAAAGGGAGAUGAACAAGCCAAGGUUGCCCGGCCUGCACGCUGGCCCAGGUGGACACUUGAAAGGAGUUUCUCUGUUUGUGGGUUUUUGCCCUGGUGCCUGGAGCCCCUUCCCUAUAGUCCCUUGAAGCAGCCCAGCUCUAUGGGCUGGA